GGUUUUGAGGGCAUCAAUUUACAUGUUAGAUACGCCGGAGAAUAUUAUUUACUGUAUUACCUGAAAAUAUUUUCGAGGGAUGUUCGGCCAUAUCAACACCAUUUGCUCCGUAUUUUUUAUGGUGGCAGUGGUCAGAAACGUGAAAGCUCAAACUGACGGUCGAAAUUAUCCACAACCCCCGUAUUACAAUAAUCCAUUUCCGUCCAAGGAUUAUCCAGCGAGCCAGUAUGGAAGCAAGUAUGGUUAUACCCAAGACGCUUCCUAUCCCGGUCCUUCACCACCGAUGAGCUAUCCUGCUUUUCCGCCGUACAACGCACCUCCCUAUAACCAACCUUCAUACAACAACUAUUCCAAACCAGCCUCGCCGGUUUAC